AAGCGCGAAGCUUCUUAGACCAAGACUUGUAGAUGGAAAAGGAGACAGAGGACUUAGAGGUGAAAGAGAUUGCAUUGUUACCAGGGAACAGGAAGAAAAUCUAUGUCCCGCCAUCCUUGUCCAGGGAUCAGAUCAACUCAGUGGUGAAUUCUGUGGAGACGCUGCUGGGUGAGGUGGAGCAGUUGCGGAAUCGCUGCAAGCAGCAGAAUGCAGAUGCCCGUGUACUAAUGGAGGAGCUGCGCCAAGAGAACUGCGAGCUGGCGCAGCGCUACCAGCAGGCUGAGCAUGAGAUGGAGGAAGUGAAGAAGGCGCUGGGGGAGCUCAUGGAAACCAAGGCAGCCUUCGAUGCCCAUGAGAGGCAGUUGCAGGAGGCAGCCUAACAAGCAGAGCCACUGAGAGGGGCCACGGUGAUGCUCUUCCAGUAGGGGGGUCCUGUCCUUGGCCCCUGACCCAGCUAACCCCAUCUGCCACCCACUGGCCUUUGAUAAAGAGUUGUAGGACAAACUUCAGAUAGAUUUCAGAUAGAAUCAUUAAACCACAUUCAUAACGCAAGGCACCUUCGCGCUGUGAGCCCAAAUCCCCAGCUACAUUGGGGAGGCAGGAUGCAGAGGAGUGUAGACUGUAGGACCUUAAUGGACAUCCUCCCCUGACAGAUGGGGAAACUGAGGCAGGAUUUGAACUCAGAUCUCCCUGACUCCCGAGUCUAGCCCUGAACAGCAUGCUACCUGAUUGCCUUCUUGUCAGAAAUGACAGACCCCUCUUUUUCAUGACUAUCUAUAAUCAACAUAUAUUGGCUCAGGGAUCACAGCUGAAGAUGUAGCUAUCAAAAGUCCUUAGAGGUCUAGAGCUGAAAAGCCCCUUAGACACCGCCAAAUCCAAUAUCAUCAUAUAGGUGAGGAAACUGAGGCAAACACAGGUGAAGUGACUUUCCUGAAUCUUGUAGUAAGUGUCUGAGGCAGGAUUCAAACCUGUGUCUUUUUGACUCCAGGAUUGGUGCUCUCCCAGAUGGACAGGAGUGGGUUCCACAGCUGGGGAGAGGGGGAAGACUCCUCUCUAAAUAGCAGGAAGUCAUCUGCAGGCUCCUUCAGUGCAGGACAGAAAGGUAGUGACCGCUUUGGGGCAGCAAGGUGGCACAGUGGAUAGAGCACUGGACCUGAGCUCAGGAAGACUCUUCUUCCUGAGUUCAACUCCAGGCUCAGAUACUUGCUAGCUUUGUGACCCUGGACAAGCUACCUUACCCUGUUUGCCUCAGUUUCCUCAUCUGUAAAAAAUGAGUUAGAGAAGGCAAUGGGCAAACUUCUUCAAUAUCUUUGUCAAGAAAACUGCAAAUGGGGUCUCGGUGAGUUGGACACAACUGAACAGCAAUAGGGAAGAGCUGAG
rnacentral:lncRNA from 1 species